AGAGUUUGAUCCUGGCUCAGAACGAACGCUGGCGGCGCGUCUUAAGCAUGCAAGUCGAACGGUAAGGGAGAGCUUGCUCUCCCCUAGAGUGGCGGACUGGUGAGUAACGCGUGGGUGACCUGCCCUGAAGAUGGGGAUAGCUAGUAGAAAUAUUAGAUAAUACCGAAUGUGCUCAUUUACAUAAAGGUAAAUGAGGAAAGGAGCUACGGCUCCGCUUCAGGAUGGGCCCGCGUCCCAUUAGCUGGUUGGUGAGGUAAAGGCUCACCAAGGCAACGAUGGGUAUCCGGCCUGAGAGGGUGAACGGACACAUUGGGACUGAGAUACGGCCCAAACUCCUACGGGAGGCAGCAGCUAAGAAUCUUCCGCAAUGGACGAAAGUCUGACGGAGCGACGCCGCGUGGAUGAAGAAGGCUGAAAAGUUGUAAAAUCCUUUUGUUGAUGAAGAAUAAGGGUGAGAGGGAAUGCUCAUCUGAUGACGGUAAUCGGCGAAUAAGCCCCGGCUAAUUACGUGCCAGCAGCCGCGGUAACACGUAAGGGGCGAGCGUUGUUCGGAAUUAUUGGGCGUAAAGGGUAUGUAGGCGGUUAGGUAAGCCUGGUGUGAAAUCUACGAGCUCAACUCGUAAACUGCAUUGGGUACUGCUUGACUUGAAUCACGGAGGGGAAACCGGAAUUCCAAGUGUAGGGGUGGAAUCUGUAGAUAUUUGGAAGAACACCGGUGGCGAAGGCGGGUUUCUGGCCGAUAAUUGACGCUGAGAUGCGAAAGUGUGGGGAUCGAACAGGAUUAGAUACCCUGGUAGUCCACACCGUAAACGAUGUACACUAGGUGUUGGGGCAAGAGCUUCAGUGCCAAAGCAAACGCGAUAAGUGUACCGCCUGGGGAGUAUGCCCGCAAGGGUGAAACUCAAAGGAAUUGACGGGGGCCCGCACAAGCGGUGGAGCAUGUGGUUUA
rnacentral:rRNA from 1 species